CUUUCGGAGCUAACGCGUUAAGUAGACCGCCUGGGGAGUACGGUCGCAAGAUUAAAACUCAAAUGAAUUGACGGGGGCCCGCACAAGCGGUGGAGCAUGUGGUUUAAUUCGAUGCAACGCGAAGAACCUUACCUACUCUUGACAUCCAGAGAACUUUCCAGAGAUGGAUUGGUGCCUUCGGGAACUCUGAGACAGGUGCUGCAUGGCUGUCGUCAGCUCGUGUCGUGAGAUGUUGGGUUA
rnacentral:rRNA from 1 species